GUUCUAUGGUCUCUCUUCAGAUCGUAUAAAUCUUUUUGUCUUUUUCUAAAAAUUUCCGUGGAGAGGAGCAUCCAUGAGUUUUUGCUUACUUGGUGGAUUUCGAAGGGUCAUCUGUCU